UAAUGAGGUGGAGCUGGAGGGUGCGAUCUGGUUGGGGCAUGGUAAUUUCAUUAACCUGAUUGCUUAAUUGUUGCAGCCAGCACGCGUAUAUAGGACCCGGUUGUGGUUGCGUGUGUGACUGAUUUGUAAGCGUGACGUGACUCUCCGUGCGCCAGUAUCUCCUUUUCCGGAAGUUGUGGCUAUAUCCAACGCUGCAGGUAGGGCAUCAGUGGACGGGGUCGUUUGCUUGCUGUAUGGGUGGUUGUAAUGUGCUUUGGUAUCUUCCUUACAGUUGCAAGGGCUUGGUAAAUCUAGCAGCUUGCGGUUGCUUCCGCUUUUAAGGUUUUCCAACUCUUACCGCGUGUAAUCUGCCAGGUAUGUCUCGUCUCCUUUUACCAACGUUUGGGUAGUAGGGGCAUACCUAAUACUGUGUUUGUAUUUGUAGUGGAUCGCGACUUGGAGUGUCCCGGACCGACGUGAGCCAGACCAUCAACGGGAUACUAAGUCACUACAAUUGCUGCUGUUUUGCCCGGAUGUUUUAUGUUUUGUUUCAUGUUUUAAUUGGUUUUAAGUAUUAAUGUGUUUUAUUGAUUGGAUGUAAAUUGGGAGGUGUCGUUGGGAAGGCUUGGUGCUGGGCGGUGAGGAUCCGUGUCGGGCGAUACCGCGCUGCGUGGUCGCGUUGCGUUCUUUUAGCCCACCCCUUGGGUGGAUGUACUGCGGGACCCCUUAGAGUGUUGUCUGACUGUACGCCUCCCAUUCCCCUCCCGAUAACAGCUGCCUGGUUUGGGUUUCCUCUUUUGUCGUGUGAUUGGAGUGUUUUAAACAUGAUUUGAUUUGUAUUACUUGUGCUGUGAUUUUGGUUUAGUAAUUUGCUGUUUGGUUUCUUUGUGUUUUUAUUUGGAGUGUUAAUUAACAGCAGCCUAAUAAAGGGAGUGUUUAUGGUC